AUGCUUACAGCCAGAUUCCUCCUUGGUGGUUGAAAGUGAAAUAUCAUAGUAGAUGCAUCCUGUGAGCUGCAUUUAAUUGUCAGCCUGUUCACCGCCCCUUGUAUGACUCUAUUAGCAAAACCCAUGAGGAGUCAAGUGGGGCUUAUCCCCUGCAGUCAGUAAUUAGCAAAUGUAAGAAUAAGGCAAAGGUGAAAAAAAAAAAAAAAAACCCACAGGGUUCCCAGCAUUUCAAUAGGUCAUGCUAGGGAUUUCUAACUCAAAUUUUGUUCUCUACCACUCUCUAGGAGGGUUUAUUUGCUCCUUAGGCUUUGGAAACUGCUAAGCAGAAUAAGAGACCUUGUUUGGAGAUCUUAUCUUUAUGCUUCCCUUCUGGGUGUCCCUUUUUUCUUCUCUCUCACCAGCCUGGCAUUCCUCCUCCAUACCUCUUAAGUGCCAGAGUCUGUCAUCCUGGAUGGAGUGCAAAAGCUACAGUGUAAUCUCACAUUCUUUCAGGGCCACUGACCAGAGGAAACCCAAGCUAGCCCGACCAGGCUCUCCUGAUGCCGACUAGCCAAUGGCCCUGCAGUUUCCUUUGUGUUUAGAAUUCCUUAUCUGGCAUUGCUAGCAAAUACUCAGGCCCACAAGUCAACUAGAAGCUUAUCUGUAGGGCUGGAGCUUCAAAGAGAUAGCCACACACUGUUCCUGGGGUCAGAGGCUCUGUGACAGUGUGAGAUGGGAGGCUUUUUGGAUCUGUCAGUUUAAUACGGGUAACACAACCCAUUAACUUCUUUUGUUUUGAAACAGAGUUCAUCGCUUUCACUUUUCUCAUUUGAGGAACACCUCUUGGUAUAUUAGUACAAGGAAAGUGGGGAAAAUUUAACAGGAAGUGGAAAGAACACCUUCCCUAAAGACUGCUGUUACUGGGCUUUUCUAUAUGAAUGUUGGCCAGCCUUUGUUUCAUAUUUGUUACUAUGUUAUUAGUAUUUUGGUGUUGCUGGGAAUCU
rnacentral:lncRNA from 1 species